rnacentral:rRNA from 1 species
CACCGGCGGCUCGAGUGGUAACCGUUAUUAUUGGGUCUAAAGGGUCUGUAGCCGGCCGGGUAAGUCUCUUGGGAAAUCCAGCAGCUUAACUGUUGGGCUUUCAGGAGAUACUGCCUGGCUCGAGGCCGGGAGAGGUGAGAGGUACUUCAGGGGUAGGGGUGAAAUCUUGUAAUCCUUGAAGGACCACCAGUGGCGAAGGCGUCUCACCAGAACGGACCUGACGGCAAGGGACGAAAGCUAGGGGCACGAACCGGAUUAGAUACCCGGGUAGUCCUAGCCGUAAACGAUACUCGCUAGGUGUCGGCCACGGUGCGACCGUUGUCGGUGCCGUAGGGAAGCCGUGAAGCGAGCCACCUGGGAAGUACGGCCGCAAGGCUGAAACUUAAAGGAAUUGGCGGGGGAGCACCACAACGGGUGGAGCUUGCGGUUUAAUUGGAUUCAACGCCGGA